AUAUCUCCUCUGAGGUGCCGUUUUUCCAAACGAAAGAGAUUUACAUUUUUUAACCUUUCCUUGUAACUAAAAUGCUCCAUUCCUUUUAUCAAUUUUGUAGCUCGUCUCUGCACUUUUUCUAGUGCCAUAAUAUCCUUCUUUAGAACAGGUGCCCAAAAUUGCACAGCAUAUUCAAGGUGUGGUCUUACCAGCGAUUUAUAAAGAGG